rnacentral:tRNA from 1 species
AGUGCUGUAGUUCAGGGGUUAGAGUGCUGGCCUUGCAAACCAGGAGCUGUGAGUUUGAGCCUUACCUGAACCU